GACGUAGGGGGCAAGCGUUGUCCGGAAUCAUUGGGCGUAAAGAGCGUGUAGGCGGCCCGAUAAGUCCGCUGUGAAAAUCCAGGGCUCAACCCUGGGAUGCCGGUGGAUACUGUCGGGCUCGAGUCCGGAAGAGGAGUGUGGAAUUCCUGGUGUAGCGGUGGAAUGCGCAGAUAUCAGGAGGAACACCGGUGGCGAAGGCGGGUCUCUGGGCAGUAACUGACGCUGAGGAGCGAAAGCGUGGGGAGCGAACAGG
rnacentral:rRNA from 1 species